UACGACUACAUAUCAGGCAUAUCAAUAAGCGGAGGAAAAGAAACUAACAAGGAUUCCCUAGUAACGGCGAGUGAGGCGGGAAGAGCUCAAAUUUGAAAUCUUAAAGGGUUUCCCUUGACGAAUUGUAGUUUAAAGAAGUGUUUUCUGUUGGAGUUUCGGUAAAAGUUCUUUGGAAUAGGACAUCAUAGAGGGUGAGAAUCCCGUAUUUGACCGUUACUUUCCAGCUGUGUGAUACACUUUCAAAGAGUCGGAUUGUUUGGGAAUGCAGUCCAAGAUGGGUGGUAAAUUUCAUCUAAAGCUAAAUAUUGGCGAGAGACCGAUAGCGAACAAGUACCGUGAGGGAAAGAUGAAAAGAACUUUGAAAAGAGAGUUAAACAGUACGUGAAAUUGUCAAAAGGGAAGCGUUUGACACCAGUGUUGUUUUUCCGAAAAUCAAUUAAGAAGGGCUUGAUUUUGUGGUGUAUUGACCUUAUCAGCUUUCUUCACUCUUUUUCGAGUCUUUCUUAAUGCACUUUUCGGUUAACAAGUCAACAUCAAUUUCUUUUGUUGUAAAAGGGUAUUUGGAAGGUGGCUUUCUUUUCGGAGAAAGUGUUUAUAGCCUUAUACCUCUACAAUCGGAGAGAUUGAGGUCUGCAGCGUAGAUCCUUCGGGGCUAGAUACACUUGUGCUAAGUUAUAGCUUUUCAUAGACAACUUGUUGACUAUGUUUAGUCAUGUAGCUUACCCGCUUGUGCUAUUUUACCUACGCUUAGGAUGUUGAUCUACAGAGCGAGAGU
rnacentral:rRNA from 1 species